AUGAACGCUGGCGGCGUGCCUAAUACAUGCAAGUCGAGCGAACGGACGAGAAGCUUGCUUCUCUGAUGUUAGCGGCGGACGGGUGAGUAACACGUGGAUAACCUACCUAUAAGACUGGGAUAACUUCGGGAAACCGGAGCUAAUACCGGAUGAUAUUUUGAACCGCAUGGUUCAAAAGUGAAAGACGGUCUUGCUGUCACUUAUAGAUGGAUCCGCGCUGCAUUAGCUAGUUGGUAAGGUAACGGCUUACCAAGGCAACGAUGCAUAGCCGACCUGAGAGGGUGAUCGGCCACACUGGAACUGAGACACGGUCCAGACUCUUACGGGAGGCAGCAGUAGGGAAUCUUCCGCAAUGGGCGAAAGCCUGACGGAGCAACGCCGCGUGAGUGAUGAAGGUCUUCGGAUCGUAAAACUCUGUUAUUAGGGAAGAACAUAUGUGUAAGUAACUGUGCACAUCUUGACGGUACCUAAUCAGAAAGCCACGGCUAACUACGUG
rnacentral:rRNA from 1 species